rnacentral:misc_RNA from 1 species
UUGCCUUCAGUCCUUCUUGUGUGCAGCAAACUGAGAAACGAGCAAGAGAGACUUCUUCCAUUGAGACGCAAACACUAGCCAGCAAACGCGAAAACUGAACAAUAGCCUACUCCUUUUUCCUUUUUCUCGAACGUAUAUUAUGUAUCUUGUAGAAUCUUUGCCUUACUAUUUCCUCAAUAUCUUUUGCUCUUAAAAAAUUUCAAGAUGAAGGAGCAAUCUCCAUGCUUUCACUGUUUCAGUUGUCGCCCAAAAAAAAAUCCUUAACUAUUUCUUCUAUCCCCAAAAGAACAAAACUCUUCAAAAAAAAUCUCCUCUCUCUCUUUCUGUCCGAGAAAGAGAAUACUUAUAGAAGAAUAUUAGGGUUUUCGAAGGAGGGAAAAGGG